rnacentral:lncRNA from 1 species
CAGAAGCUUCAGCUUUUGCUCUUUCCCUGGCCCUCUAAAUGCUUUCCACAAUCAGAGUGAGUCCUGGGUGGGACAGGCGUUAGAGACGCAAAAUAUUUAAUGUCCAUUCUUGGGAGAACAGAGAGGCUCAAAUGCUUGCAGGUGCCUGUCCGCGGUUGUUCUCUUCAUCAGGAAAUAAAUGGAUCAGAUGCUUCGGAACAGAAAGAAUUCUGUAAGAGUCAAGAGACCCAAGUUCACUCUCUCAGGAGAUUCCUGUGUGUACUCAGGAUCUGGAGCCUGAAGAGGCAAAAUCCGCACAACAGGCUGUUGAGGAGGUCAAGUCUUCGAACUCGGUGUAAGCAAUCACAGGCUGGUAGGUGGCAGAAGAGCUAUCCCACAUUCUUCUUCAGUCCCAACUUCCGUCCCCACCCCCCAGUUUCUCCAUUUACACUCCGUCAGUUUCC